rnacentral:misc_RNA from 1 species
GAUGAAGAACGCAGCGAAAUGCGAUACUUGGUGUGAAUUGCAGAAUCCCGUGAACCAUCGAGUCUUUGAACGCAAGUUGCGCCCGAAGCCAUCAGGUUGAGGGCACGUCUGCCUGGGCGUCACAUAUCGUUGCCCAAUGCCUAUUGCAGUGCAAUAGGAAUUUCUAGGGCGAAUGAUGGCUUCCCGUGAGCGUUGUUGCCUCGCGGUUGGUUGAAAAUCGAGUCCUUGGUAGGGUGUGCCAUGGUAGAUGGUGGUCGAGUUAGAACGAUACCGAUCAUGUGCAUGCUCCCCAAAAUAUGGCCUCUAUGACCCACACGCGUCUUUUGACGCUCAUGACGAGACCUCAGGUCAGGCGGGACUACCCGCUGAGUUUAAGCAUAUCAAUAAGCGGAGGA